rnacentral:rRNA from 1 species
AGCAGCCGCGGUAAUUCCAGCUCCAAUAGCGUAUAUUAAAGUUGUUGCAGUUAAAAAGCUCGUAGUUGAAUUUCGGGAUCAAUACGUCUGUCGUGCCUCUGGUACGUACGGGUGUAAUUGGUUUCUACCUUCUGAGGAUCCUUGAUGUCAUUAAUUUGGUGUCUUGGGGAAUCAGGACUGUUACCUUGAAAAAAUUAGAGUGUUUAAAGCAGGCAUACGCUUGAAUACAUUAGCAUGGAAUAAUGAAAUAGGACGUUCGAUUCUAUUUUGUUGGUUUCUAGGAUCGACGUAAUGAUUAAUAGGGAUAGUUGGGGGGCAUUAGUAUUCAAUUGUCAGAGGUGAAAUUCUUGGAUUUAUUGAAGACUAACUACUGCGAAAGCAUUUGCCAAGGAUGUUUUCAUUAAUCAAGAACGAAAGUUAGGGAUCGAAGACGAUCAGAUACCGUCGUAGUCUUAACCAUAAACUAUGCCGACUAGGGAUCGGGAUGAUUGUUAAUUUUUUAAUGUACUCAUUCGGCGCC